AGAAUCAACGCUGGCGGCGUGCCUAACACAUGCAAGUCGAACGAGAAAGUGGGAGCAAUCCCACGAGUAAAGUGGCGCACGGGUGAGUAACACGUGACUAACCUACCCUUGAGUGGGGGAUAACCUAGGGAAACCUGGGCUAAUACCGCAUAAUACCUACGGGUCAAAGGAGCAAUUCGCUUAAGGAGGGGGUCGCGGCAGAUUAGUUAGUUGGCGGGGUAAUGGCCCACCAAGACAGUGAUCUGUAUCCGGCCUGAGAGGGCGCACGGACACACUGGAACUGAAACACGGUCCAGACUCCUACGGGAGGCAGCAGUGGGGAAUUUUGCGCAAUGGGGGAAACCCUGACGCAGCAACGCCGCGUGGAGGAUGAAGCCCCUUGGGGCGUAAACUCCUUUCGAUCGGGAAGAUAAUGACGGUACCGGAAGAAGAACGCCCGGCUAACUUCGCGCCAGCAGCCGC
rnacentral:rRNA from 1 species